rnacentral:lncRNA from 1 species
AGAGAACCAAGCAGGGACAAGAACACUGUAGGAGAAUCUGGCCCCAUUUAAUCCGCAGUACCCUGCCAGAAAAAGAAGGAGAGGCUGAUCCCCAGUAAGAGGGAACAGAGUGGCACCCACAAAUACGGAAUGAAGACAUUUGGAGAAGAAGCGUUUACUGAAAGGAGAUUCCUGGGCUGGAGGAAAACCAUGAUCUACAGUUCAUGUUGACAGAUAUUGUAUUUUUGGUCCUAGAUCUGACUUUUGAAAUGACUUAUCACAAAUUCAAAUUUAGCAAUCAUGAGUGAAGUACCCACGAUGUGCUAAGCAUCUACCUCUGCAGAUAGAAGAACACUUACUGUUCCUGAGCAUGGGAGGGAAUAGAAGUUCCUGGGUCCUGGCCUCACCUCAUCAGGCACUGCCAAAUUUGACACCUCCUUCCUGUUCACGGCAGUCCUUUGCGAUAGGGUAUUAGAUGCCACCAAGUAGCUGCAUAACUCACCCAUUUGGUCAGAGCCUGGGUCUAAGCCAGGUCUGACAGACUCCAAAGCAAGCCCUGUUUACAGCAUGACUGGGAUCCAGUGGACGAGGGAACUGAGCUGUCAAAACUAAGUGACUUGAUUGAGGCCAUGCAGCUGGCGAGGGGAGGACCAGGAUCUGAACCCAACUGGGUCUCCCAAGCCUGGGCCACUGAACCAUUUCACCUCUUGGAAAAACUUAAUGGUCAGAGUGGCCCACCCAGUCCAUGGACAGCAUGGAGGAUAAACUGCUUCCCUAGAAAUCCUCUCCAGCAUUCUUGCCACCACGACUUUGGGACACAUUGACCAUGAGGAGGAGCUGGUCAAUGAUGGACAGGAGUCCAGAUUAGCAGAGAUGUGGUAAUAAGGACACCGAUGCCUAAAUACUUGAAAUAUCCAAUAGGAAGCAUUCCACCUUUGUGCAAAUGCGAACCACAUCUCACCAAGUUCAGGCCAAGGCUGCCACCGGUGACGUUUUGGAAAAGAAAAAAAAAAGCGGGGGGAGAGGAGAGAAACAGAGAAGCAAGGAAUGCAGAAGAGAGCAGAGGCCACAAAAACAGCAGCAACGUGUCCUGUGUAUUCUGUUUCCUUGUAAAACUAUGAAGCAUGUUAAGGAGAUACUUCAUUUUUUGAGGAUUCAUACUCUUGUUUAUAUUAUAAUAAAAACAACCCAUGUUCUUUCUAAAAAUUUAGGCAAUGCCUUCGUGCACAUAAAAGUAAAACAAAAUCACCUGUAAUCCUACCACACGCAGAUCAGCACUUGCUAAUCUUUUCACAGGGAUCCUAAGAAUAUCCUAUUCUCUAUAGAAUAUAGUUGAUUUAUGUUACCUAAUAACUAACUGUUAACCAUUUUAAAAUUCUUCAGUUUUACAUUAUGCUAGAAAAAAGGAGCCGUCACUCUACGUGACAUUUCUGUAUAUUGGUUUAUUCAUUCAAUAAACAUUUUUUAAGUACCUACUAU